GCUGGCAAGUCACUGGGCAGGUCCUUGGGAACCGGACGACUUCUCUCACGCUUUGAGAGUCUGCUCAGUCUGCCUAUACAGCAAUUCCCAGUUGUUUUGUCGUUCUUCUUGUUCCAAAUGCUCGCUUGAGAAAACCGCAGUGCCUGCCCUUCGCACCCAGCCCAGCUCCUUACCCUCCUCGCGUGCUCCGAUGUGCCAAAGUCUCCUCACACGGCACAGGGCAACUCUGGGCCCGAUAGGCCCAGCAGCAGAACCAGCAGCUGCAAGCCACAGAUGCUCUCUGUCUGGGAAGCUGAAAUAGGAAACCAGGGAUCAUCCCGGCUGAUCUGAGAAAGAAGACAGCCAUCUUUUUGAGAGUCCUUUCAAAAUGGAAGCAAGCUGG